rnacentral:rRNA from 1 species
CACGUAGGGGGCAAGCGUUGUCCGGAUUUAUUGGGCGUAAAGAGCUCGUAGGCGGCUUAGUAAGUCGGGUGUGAAACCUCCAGGCUCAACCUGGAGACGCCACCCGAUACUGCUGUGGCUAGAGUCCGGUAGGGGAGCGUGGAAUUCCUGGUGUAGCGGUGAAAUGCGCAGAUAUCAGGAGGAACACCAAUGGCGAAGGCAGCACUCUGGGACGUGACUGACGCUGAGACGCGAAAGCGUGGGGAGCAAACGGG